UGGCAAAAGCUGCGGAAAUUCUUUCACAUCUAACCUGCUUUUCUAAAACAGAGCUUUUCCCAGCAUUCUCUUCGGUCCCAUAGUCUACUGUCGUGGGUAGAAAGCAAAAUGGUUCCUCCUGUGCAGGUUUCCCCUCUCAUUAAAUUUACAAGGUACUCUGCUCUGUUGGUUGGACUAAUAUAUGGAAAACAAAGAUAUGAUUAUCUGAAACCCAUUGCAGCAGAAGAACGGAGGAUAGAGGAGGAAGAAAAGAAGCGACGUGAAGAGACAGAGCGAAUUGCAAAGGAGCUUGCAGCAGCAAAUGAAGACACCAUUUUGAAAUGAAUGCUUAUGAUCAGAGUCUUUUCUUGUUAAACGCACCUUUCCCUUCAAUUCAAACAAACAUAAAUUUAAAGAAUAAUUUGUAUUUUAAGUUCCUGACCUCCUCUACAAAACAUUUGAAUUAAUAAACAUGUAAAGCUUA